rnacentral:lncRNA from 1 species
CCUGAGAAGCAAGGUGCCAGGAAGUACUCAUUUUAGACCCAGCUGCGGGCUUAGUACAGCAGGAAGAAGAGGCUUAAGCUCUUUGCGCUCAAGUACCUCCCAGCUGAGUUGGAAAGAAUGAGAGAUGGGAUAUAAUCAAGACUUAAUGUUUCAUGGGAGCUGGAGACAUGUUUCUCGGGAUCAGUAUUUAUGGACAUUACAGAAGGUGUUUUCUCACCUUGAACAAGUCAUUAGAUUUGGAACUGGAUGCUGGUGCCAAAAGAAUAAGGUCUAAGAAAACAGUUCGCAGACAGUCCUGAGUGCUCCCUCCGCUCUCAGCCACACUCAGUUGGGAUCCAGUGCCUGCCUGUAGUGGUGAUGCUCCUGUUUUCUCAUCUGCUGGCCAGACACAUGGUUUCCAUUGAUAGGCAGCUAAGUUUGCAACCAGUGCUUAAUCAUUUGCGGUGUUACAGGGACAGAAGUAAUGUGGGAAGCUAGAGCCUCAAGUCAACCCAGGGCCUCAUGAGUCAGAAGUUUCAAUCUACCUUGCCACGAAACACCAUAGACAGCUUCAGAGUAUAACUGGGUUGGUGCUAGGGGACCACUCCUGGGGAGUGGGAGGGAGGGAGCCCUUAUGCUACAGCUGGACACAGUGACAUGGGGGUGUCUUCACUCCCCUCCUCUCCAGUCAGGAAUGCAAUGGUUUUGACAGUCACUUCAAAACUUGCUCUCAGGAGUUCCCAUCGUGGCUCCGUGGUUAACGAAUCCGACUAGGAACCAUGAGGUUCAGGGUUCCAUCCCGGGCCUUGCUCAGUAGGUUAAGGAUCCGGCGUUGCCGUGACCUGUGGUGUAGGUUGCAGACAUGGCUCGGAUCCCGCGUUGCUCUGCCGGCCUACGCCACAGCCAGCCUACGCCACAGCCGCAGCAACUGCAUCUACAACCUGCGCCACAGUUCACAGGCAAUGUCAGAUGCUUAACCCACUGAAGGAGGCCAGGAUCAAACCCGCGUCCUCAUGGAUACCAAUCAGGUUCAUUACUGCUGAGCCACAAUGAGAACUCCCCUAUUGUUUAAUUUAAAUAAUGUAGGGACCUACUAAAUUGAAGGUCCAUGAAGGGACCUACUAAACUGAUUUCAAAAUUCAUAAGUGGUAGUGAGCUGCAGGGCCAGACUGAGCUGUGGUUUGGUUUCCUGUACCAGGGCGCCUAGUCAGGGGGCCAUUGGAGACUGAACCUCAACUCUCAUUUCUCUCUCUCUUUUUUUGUUUUGCUUUUUAGGGCUGCACCCACAGCAUUUAGAAGUUCCCAGGCUAAGGGUUGACUCGGAGCUACAGCGGCUGGCCUACGCCACAGCCACAGCAAUGCGGGAUCCAAGCCAUGUCUGUGACCUACACCACAGCUCAGGGCAAUGCCUGAUCCUUAAGCCAUUGAGUGAGGCCAGGGAUCAAACCCGCAUCCUCAUGGAUCCUAGUCAGGUUCGUUAAUUGCUGAGCCAUGAAAGGAACUCCUCAACUCUCAUUUCUCUUGCCAAGCAGUUGCCCAUCUUCGGGCUCAGUCUUCCAGAAGAAUGAGUACCUUUUACAACGUGCACAUGGAACAGCCCAUGUGCCCAAGAUUUGUAUGCAUGGGACUUGUGUGCUCCAUUCAACACCAUUUGUAAGUUAUAAGUAGGACCUGUGUGGCUGGUAGGGUCCUUCCUGUUGGUAGGUACCAUGCACAGGAAAGAGAAGGUGGAAAAUUACAGGUUAGGAGAGCCUAGAUCCAGAGCAAGAAGGGAUGCCUGCACAUGGUUUUGGCACUGGUGAGAGUAAAGUUGAGGGGGUUGUUCUAGCCCCACUGGUAGAUACCAAAAUUGGUGGAUACUCAAGUCCUUAUAUAAAAUGGUAUAAAGUAUUUGCAUAGAGUAUAAGUACAACCUUCUGUGUACUUCAGAUCCCUCCAGAUUACUUAGGGUACCUAAAGUAACAUAAUACUAUGUAAAUAGUUGCUAAUGCAAUGCAAAUGCUAUGUAAAUAGUUGCCAGUGUACAGCAAUUUCACAGUUUGCUUUUUAGAACUUUCUGGAAUUUUUUUCUCAAAUAUCGUCUAUCUGCGAUUGAUUGAAUUUUGGAUGUGAAAUUUCUGGAUAUGAAGGUUCCAACUGUAUAUGUUCCCGGCUUCUUCCUCACGUCCCCUUCCCUCUGUAGUGGAAAGAUCAGGAAGGUGCUGAACCAAGACGAGGAAGAAGGGCCCGUGUAACUUCAACACUGGUCAUGGACUCUUAGAUUUCUCUGAAGGGAGUAGCUGAAUUUCUCUCUGGGAUGAAAAAAUCAGGAAAGAGCAAUAAGGAAAAAGUAAAUGUAAUAAGAAAUGAAAAUGAACAAUAAAUGCAACAUGUUUAUUGAAAACGUUCUCUGUACCAGAAGCUGAAUCAGAUACUUCAUUGUUUAAAUAACUUCUUACACUCACUGUGGUUUACAAUAAAUUCUUUUUAAAAAUGAGAUUUACCCAUCUGCAUGAAUGCCCUCAUUUGAAUUCUAUGAUUUUUCUUCACUUCUAGCUAGUCACUAAGCAUAAAUUUCCUGAAAAUAGAAGAGACUCAACUGCUAUUAUUCAAAUAAUGACCAUUGUGCCAGAAGGGAGUGUCAAGGAGUUAAUUAAAGUUAACAAAACCAUUGCCAGAUUUCCUAGGGUGAGAAAAGUUUUUCUUUUCCCCUGCGUUUUUUAUGUAAAGCAUAGAAGACUAACAGGCAUUUCUUUCAUGUCACUCAGAGUUUCUCAUUCAGCAAAUACUUAUUGAAUAUUCACUGUGUCCUGGACACUGAGUAGGCACCUGGUACAAAGCAGGCCUGAGAAGUCUCUGGCCUUAGGGAGCAGGGUUCAGGGGAAGGGCAGACUUAACUCAUGAGCAAGAAAGGGCCCUGAGACCCCUUUAUGUGGUCAUCAGUAAGGGCCCUACUCAGUGUGUACCAGUUAGGAUUAAGUUUAUCUGCAUGUGAUAGAAAACCUAAACUAACAGUGGCUUAAAGACACAAGUUUUUAUUUUCUCAAGGGCAAGAACUCUUGAUCAGGACUUAUGUGGUAUUACUAUGAUGUUUUCAGGGACUCAGACUAUCCAGCUUUCCACUCCAUCAUCCCUACCUUAUGGCCCUCAUUCACAUGGUUCAUUGUGGCUGCCAGGGCUCCAGCUAUCACAUAGUCAUUCCAGGAGAAUGAGAAGAAGGGCAUACUUUCUCCCUUUAAAGGAAGCUUGGGAAAUAUAGUCUUUAUUCUAGGCAGUCAUGGGCACAGCUAAAUUCAGAAGGUUUACUUUACUAAGGAAGAAGGAGAAACUUUAUACUGAGGUCAGCAACCAGCAGCCUCCCUCUAGGCGUGAGGUGCAAUGGUCUGGGAAAGCUUUGUGAAGGUGGUAGGGUGUGACUCAGGCUUUCAUGACUGGGUAGUAUUUGGAUCAGACUGACUGAAAACCUGUUGACUAUAGACUAGACCCCUGUGCUAUAGCAGAUACGUCUGUGAUAGAGCUUGGGAAGGUCCUGCUCUGGCAGAUUGUCCACUUAGAGAACCCUGACCACCGUCUCAGGAGUUCCAAGAGUCAAGCUGUAGAUUAGCAGGUUUUGAUUAUUAUUGUUAUUUAACAUUUAAGUACAGGAGAUUUUGUAGAUAUAAUGUAGGGACUCACACAUGGGAGUUCUUAGAAUGCGAACUCUGUCCCUUGUUUUCUGUCAUGCCCAGAACACACACCUGGCCCUAUAGAGCAUGGCAAAUAAAGGGGAGGGGAAGGCAAGCUGAAAUCCAGAGAGACCCAGUAUGGGGAGUGCAGUUGGAUGGUCCUAGAGAAAAGCUUGUUCUUCUUCCUAAGUUCCUUGCCUCUGUUUUAUCCAGACCCCAGAGAAAUCGGCAGUUUGGUUUUCUCCUUUUUUCUUCUCCCCUAAGGUUUUGCAGAAUACAGAGCUAGCAGGAUUACCUGGGUUGUUAGGGGUCAUGCUGUCAACAAAACAAGGAUGUCUGUUACCAUUGCCUGUAUUAAAUGUUGUUCUGUAGGCACUAGCUAAUGAACUCGGACAAGCAAGAGGAUGCAUGUGGAAAGCGAGAGGUGGAAUUUCCAUGCUGUGCAUAUGGUAGACUUAUAUCCUAAAUGAUGAACUAUUUAUUAUAAACAACCAGAGAAUACAGUAAGGUGCAUGGGACGUGAAAUGAAUAUACAAAAAUAGCUUUAGAGAAAAAGGACCAGGUAGAAAAUAAAAUGGAAGCAAAGACUCCAUUCACAGCAAGGAUAAGUGAGAAUAAUUUAGGUGAACUAGUUUUGUAAGCUAUUAUAUAUUUUAAGUGGUAUUAUAUAUAUUUAAUUAGUAUAAUACCAAUACUAGAAUAGACAGAAAGAUCAAUAGUAUAGAAUGGAAUCGAGAACUAGACACUGAUAUAUAUAAAUAGAAACUUUAUCUUAAGAUAAAGGUGGCAUUUUAUAUCAGUAAGGAAAAUGAUAGAUUAUUCAAUAAAUAGUUUGGGACAACUGGGUAGCCAUCUGGAAAAACAAAAAUUGGAUCAAUAUCUCACUUUUAGUGCCAACAUAAAUGCCAGAAAGAUACAAAUUUAAAUCUUCAAAGUAGUAAAAGACAGAAGUUUUAAAAAUUGUAUGGUAGCAUCGUCUGCCUAGGUAUAACACAAACCCUGUAAAUCAUAAAUACAAACCGAUAUGUUAAAUUUAAAUUUCAAAAGAGUAAACAAAACCAGGCCUCAUGGAGGUUAUGUCCCUGAUAGCUUCAUGAACC